GAACAUAAGAGUUUGAUCCUGGCUCAGAUUGAACGCUGGCGGCAUGCUUUACACAUGCAAGUCGGACGGCAGCACGAGUACUUGUACUUGGUGGCGAGUGGCGAACGGGUGAGUAAUAUAUUGGAACGUACCGAGUAAUGGGGGAUAACUAUCCGAAAGGAUAGCUAAUACCGCAUACGCUUUGAGAAGGAAAGCAGGGGAUCUUCGGACCUUGCGUUAUUCGAGCGGCCAAUAACUGAUUAGCUAGUUGGUGGGGUAAGGGCUCACCAAGGCGACGAUCAGUAGUGGGUCUGAGAGGAUGAUCCGCCACACUGGGACUGAGACACGGCCCAGACUCCUACGGGAGGCAGCAGUGGGGAAUUUUGGACAAUGGGCGAAAGCCUGAUCCAGCCAUGCCGCGUGUCUGAAGAAGGCCUUCGGGUUGUAAAGGACUUUUGUUAGGGAAGAAAAGGUUGAUGCUAAUAUCAUUAACUGAUGACGGUACCUAAAGAAUAAGCACCGGCUAACUACGUGCCAGCAGCCGCGGUAAUACGU
rnacentral:rRNA from 1 species